UUUAUGGAGAGUUUGAUCCUGGCUCAGGAUGAACGCUGGCGGCGUGCCUAAUACAUGCAAGUCGAGCGAACGGACUAGAAGCUUGCUUCUCUGAUGUUAGCGGCGGACGGGUGAGUAACACGUGGAUAACCUACCUAUAAGACUGGGAUAACUUCGGGAAACCGGAGCUAAUACCGGAUAAUAUUUUGAACCGCAUGGUUCAAAAGUGAAAGACGGUCUUGCUGUCACUUAUAGAUGGAUCCGCGCUGCAUUAGCUAGUUGGUAAGGUAACGGCUUACCAAGGCAACGAUGCAUAGCCGACCUGAGAGGGUGAUCGGCCACACUGGAACUGAGACACGGUCCAGACUCCUACGGGAGGCAGCAGUAGGGAAUCUUCCGCAAUGGGCGAAAGCCUGACGGAGCAACGCCGCGUGAGUGAUGAAGGUCUUCGGAUCGUAAAACUCUGUUAUUAGGGAAGAACAUAUGUGUAAGUAACUGUGCACAUCUUGACGGUACCUAAUCAGAAAGCCACGGCUAACUACGUGCCAGCAGCCGCGGUAAUACGUAGGUGGCAAGCGUUAUCCGGAAUUAUUGGGCGUAAAGCGCGCGUAGGCGGUUUUUUAAGUCUGAUGUGAAAGCCCACGGCUCAACCGUGGAGGGUCAUUGGAAACUGGAAAACUUGAGUGCAGAAGAGGAAAGUGGAAUUCCAUGUGUAGCGGUGAAAUGCGCAGAGAUAUGGAGGAACACCAGUGGCGAAGGCGACUUUCUGGUCUGUAACUGACGCUGAUGUGCGAAAGCGUGGGGAUCAAACAGGAUUAGAUACCCUGGUAGUCCACGCCGUAAACGAUGAGUGCUAAGUGUUAGGGGGUUUCCGCCCCUUAGUGCUGCAGCUAACGCAUUAAGCACUCCGCCUGGGGAGUACGACCGCAAGGUUGAAACUCAAAGGAAUUGACGGGGACCCGCACAAGCGGUGGAGCAUGUGGUUUAAUUCGAAGCAACGCGAAGAACCUUACCAAAUCUUGACAUCCUUUGACAACUCUAGAGAUAGAGCCUUCCCCUUCGGGGGACAAAGUGACAGGUGGUGCAUGGUUGUCGUCAGCUCGUGUCGUGAGAUGUUGGGUUAAGUCCCGCAACGAGCGCAACCCUUAAGCUUAGUUGCCAUCAUUAAGUUGGGCACUCUAAGUUGACUGCCGGUGACAAACCGGAGGAAGGUGGGGAUGACGUCAAAUCAUCAUGCCCCUUAUGAUUUGGGCUACACACGUGCUACAAUGGACAAUACAAAGGGCAGCGAAACCGCGAGGUCAAGCAAAUCCCAUAAAGUUGUUCUCAGUUCGGAUUGUAGUCUGCAACUCGACUACAUGAAGCUGGAAUCGCUAGUAAUCGUAGAUCAGCAUGCUACGGUGAAUACGUUCCCGGGUCUUGUACACACCGCCCGUCACACCACGAGAGUUUGUAACACCCGAAGCCGGUGGAGUAACCUUUUAGGAGCUAGCCGUCGAAGGUGGGACAAAUGAUUGGGGUGAAGUCGUAACAAGGUAGCCGUAUCGGAAGGUGCGGCUGGAUCACCUCCUUU
rnacentral:rRNA from 1 species